AUUGAACGCUGGCGGCAGGCCUAACACAUGCAAGUCGAGCGGAUGAAGGGAGCUUGCUCCUGGAUUCAGCGGCGGACGGGUGAGUAAUGCCUAGGAAUCUGCCUGGUAGUGGGGGAUAACGUCCGGAAACGGGCGCUAAUACCGCAUACGUCCUGAGGGAGAAAGUGGGGGAUCUUCGGACCUCACGCUAUCAGAUGAGCCUAGGUCGGAUUAGCUAGUUGGUGGGGUAAAGGCCUACCAAGGCGACGAUCCGUAACUGGUCUGAGAGGAUGAUCAGUCACACUGGAACUGAGAAAAGGUCCAGACUCCUACGGGAGGCAGCAGGUGGGAAAAUUGGAAAAUGGGCGAAAGCCUGAUCCAGCCAUGACGCGUGUGUGAAGAAGGUCUUCGGAUUGUAAAGCACUUUAAGUUGGGAGGAAGGGCAGUAAGUUAAUACCUUGCUGUUUUGACGUUACCAACAGAAUAAGCACCGGCUAACUUCGUG
rnacentral:rRNA from 1 species